AACGAACGCUGGCGGCAGGCCUAACACAUGCAAGUCGAGCGAGACCUUCGGGUCUAGCGGCGGACGGGUGAGUAACGCGUGGGAAUAUGCCCUUUGGUACGGAAUAGCUUCGGGAAACGGGGGGUAAUACCGGAUGUGCCCUUUGGGGGAAAGAUUUAUCGCAUAGGGAUGAGCCCGCGUUGGAUUAGGUAGUUGGUAGGGUAAUGGCCUACCAAGGCGACGAUCCAUAGCUGGUUUGAGAGGAUGAUCAGCCACACUGGGACUGAGACACGGCCCAGACUCCUACGGGAGGCAGCAGUGGGGAAUCUUAGACAAUGGGCGAAACCCUGAUCUAGCCAUGCCGCGUGAGUGAUGAAGGCCUUAGGGUUGUAAAGCUCUUUCAGCUGGGAAGAUAAUGACGGUACCAGCAGAAGAAGCCCCGGCUAACUCCGUG
rnacentral:rRNA from 1 species